GUGGACUAACAUAUGGCGGCGGGUGUUUAUCGGAAGGACACCAACACUGUGCAGCUGGAAGUGAUGUCGUCGGAUCUUACUCCUCUCUCUGGAAAUCCCUCUCAAUGAAUAUGAAGCUCCAGAAGAUAUGCUUCCUCCAAAUGCUAGCAGUACAUUGUAUGUAGAGGGUUUGCCUGAGGACUGUACAACAAGAGAGGUGGCACACAUAUUCCGCCAUUUUGGAGGUUACAAAGAAGUUAGGCUUGUACCAGAACCAUCAAUAUAUCCUGGAGUCAAUACCUUGAUUCAUUGCUUUGUUGAUUUUGUGAGUCCGCUUCAUGCAGUUGCUGCAAUGGAUGCCUUACAAGGUGAG